UGAAACUAUGAGCUUGUAACGUACUAAGAUUAAAACUUCGAAGAAUGAUGUGAACUGUAUAAUCACAUAUUUGAGCUUUGUACCUUAUCUAUAAAUGACAAUCAUUUUAUGGUAGGUAGCUCUUAUUGAUUAAGUUGCUGAGAGUUUAUCCUCUGCCUAGGAAAUAUUUUCUAACUCGAAGUAGUUUGGUUUUGAACUGGUAAAUUAUUAUAUUCAACUUUUGUGACUUUUCUUGUCUUAUCUAAUUUUAGCUUGUAUAUGUGUCUCAAUACCUUGAGAUUGUAAAUAUUUAUGGUUUCUAUAUUUAAACAUAAUUACAAAAUAUGGUCCUUACUAAUGGUGUCUUAACUAUUUGCUGCAUUUUUUUGGUUCUGACAGAUUAAUUUGGAUGAAUUUGCUGACCUUUGCAAUGCCAUUGCGCUAAGGUUUCAAAAAGAGGAUUCAGUACCCGUAUUUGAUAGCCUUCCAUUUUACCGUUCACCCGCAUCUGAAAGGCUGAAAGACUUUGUUCGAAGUCCAAAAUUUGGAUACAUAAUAAUAUUCAUCCUUGCCCUGAAUUUUUUCGCAGUCAUUAUUGAAACAACGCUUGACAUAGAGAACAAUUCUGCUCAAGAGGCUUGGCAAAAGGUGGAGUUUGUGUUUGGAUGGCUGUACGUAGUGGAGAUGGCAUUGAAGAUCUAUGCUUAUGGAUUUGAGAACUAUUGGAGAGACAGCCAAAAUUGCUUUGACUUUAUAAUCACCUGGGUAAUA